GACUGCGUACCUUUUGUAUAAUGGGUCAGCGACUUAUAUUUUGUAGCGAGGUUAACCGAUUAGGGGAGCCGUAGCGAAAGCGAGUCUUAACUGGGCGCGUAGUUGCAAGGUAUAGACCCGAAACCCGGUGAUCUAGCCAUGGGCAGGUUGAAGGUUGAGUAACAUCAACUGGAGGACCGAACCCACUGUCGUUGAAAAGCCAGGGGAUGACUUGUGGAUCGGAGUGAAAGGCUAAUCAAGCCCGGAGAUAGCUGGUUCUCCCCGAAAGCUAUUUAGGUAGCGCCUCGGACGAAUACCACAGGGGGUAGAGCACUGUUUCGGCUAGGGGGUCAUCCCGACUUACCAACCCGAUGCAAACUCCGAAUACCUGUGAGUACUAUCCGGGAGACACACGGCGG
rnacentral:rRNA from 1 species